rnacentral:rRNA from 1 species
CCUACGGGAGACAGCAGUGAGGAAUAUUGGUCAAUGGACGAGAGUCUGAACCAGCCAAGUAGCGUGAAGGAUGACUGCCCUAUGGGUUGUAAACUUCUUUUAUAUGGGAAUAAAACGUUCCACGUGUGGGAUUUUGUAUGUACCAUAUGAAUAAGGAUCGGCUAACUCCGUGCCAGCAGCCGCGGUAAUACGGAGGAUCCGAGCGUUAUCCGGAUUUAUUGGGUUUAAAGGGAGCGUAGGUGGAUUGUUAAGUCAGUUGUGAAAGUUUGCGGCUCAACCGUAAAAUUGCAGUUGAAACUGGCAGUCUUGAGGACAGUAGAGGUGGGCGGAAUUCGUGGUGUAGCGGUGAAAUGCUUAGAUAUCACGAAGAACUCCGAUUGCGAAGGCAGUUCACUGGACUGCAACUGACACUGAGGCUCGAAAGUGUGGGUAUCAAACAGGAUUAGAUACCCUAGUAGUC